GUUUCAUUGUGAAGAGUUCAAUUUCUAUGGACUCAUCAACAUAUAAUAGCAUAGUCUCUUUAAUUUCUCAUUGUUUUUUUCUUUUUUGUUAAAUCAGAUGACCAAUUUGAAGUAAAUCCAUCGACAAGUUUCUAUUUUGUUAUGAGGCAAAACUAAACUGCCAUCUUAGGUUUAUCAUCAACAUAUUUAAACAACUCUCUAAUCUUGUCUUUGCUCUCUUUUUUGCAUGAAACAGUUUGAUGUAGGUCUAUAUGUGUCGGUGAAGCAUUGUUUUUAAAGGAUUCGAGGUUCCUACAUGAUAUUUUUCUUUAUUGAACCUGAACUUUUUAUCUUGCUUUAUGAAAUAAGUUACAUAAAAUUGUUAUUAAGACUUAUUUUUCUGAUCUAUUCUCUCCCAAGGCCAUUCAAUGAUGGACUCCUCCCUUGAGAGUGAAGUGAUG
rnacentral:lncRNA from 1 species